CUGACAGCUCUGAGGGUGGCAGCCCCCCGCAGGACCCAGGAAGUCAGAGUCCCCAGGGCAGCCAGGCCUGAGCUGGCCUCGAAGCCACCAGCCCACUCAGAACAACCGUCUGUAGGGCUCAUCAGAAACACAAACAGCCCAGCGGGACAAACACGCUUGGAGUUGGCCACCCUGGGGCCACAGCCCAGCUGCCCCUGUCAGUGACAGGAUGUCUCCAAGUUCAAGGCCAUCAUCUCCAGGUGGAGAUGAGGAAGCAGAGGCUCAGGGCGCAGCGAACAUUCUCUCAGGUCAUCAGCAGCAGAGCUGGGAAGCUCGUGCAUGAAGUUUAGGUGUCUGUAUAGACAGCUCCUCUUCUCACUGGAUUUAUAGGCUCCCCCUCCUUUCUGCAGAGGGCAGGGAGCUCAUUCAAUAAACAGAAUCAAUGA
rnacentral:lncRNA from 1 species